CAGGACAUGACCUCAGGCAAGACUACCCGCUGAACUUAAGCAUAUAACUAAGCGGAGGAAAAGAAACUAACCAGGAUUCCCCCAGUAACGGCGAGUGAAGCGGGAAGAGCUCAAGCUUAAAAUCUCCUUGCAGUCUCUGCUCGGCGAAUUGUAGUCUAUCGAGGCGAAGUCAGCACGCAGGAUCCGGCCAAGUUCCUUGGAAGAGGACAGCAUGGAGGGUUACACUCCCGUCUCUGCCGGCAAAUGCGCGCGUACGACUCGUCUUCUUUGAGUCGCGUUGUUUGGGAAUGCAGCGCAAAGCAGGUGGUAAAUUCCAUCUAAAGCUAAAUACUGGUGCGAGACCGAUAGCGAACAAGUACCGUGAGGGAAAGAUGAAAAGAACUUUGAAAAGAGAGUUAAAGAGUACCUGAAACUGCUGAAAGGGAAGCGAAUCGCGUCCGCUGUCCAUUCCGUGGUCAACCGCUUCGGCGACUGCCACGGAGGAGUCAAAGUCAGUUUGGUGUCGAAGGUAAAGUCGACAGUGCGCGUAGCAUGGCUGACUUUCGGGUCCGGGCCCUACGAGAAACGUUGUGCGUAGCCUCGACGAAGACUGAGGCGAUAACAGCAACCGUGUGUGCUCCGUAAGUUUGUGCGGAGAUCGGGUAGGCAGGUCCUACCUCCUGGCGAGAUGCACCACUAUCAAUGAGACGCAUGCACGCGAGCGGAUGCGCACACACGCUGUUCGGGACUUUGAUCGAAUGGAGCGAUUCGGCCCGUCUUGAAACACGGACCAAGGAGUCUAACAUGUGUGCAAGUGUUUGGGUGGCAAACCCAGACGCGCAAUGAAAGUAAAGGGCUCAAGCCCGAGGUAGGAAGGUCUCUUGUGGGACUGGCACUAUCGACCGAUCAUGCGCCUCCGGGCAAAAGAUUUGAGUUGGAGCACAUAUGUUGGUACCCGAAAGAUGGUGAACUAUGCCUGAGUAGGGUGAAGCCAGAGGAAACUCUGGUGGAAGCUCGAAGCGAUUCUGACGUGCAAAUCGAUCGUCGAACUUGGGUAUAGGGGCGAAAGACUAAUCGAACCAUCUAGUAGCUGGUUCCCUCCGAAAUUUCCCUCAGGAUAGCGGCAACGGAUUACGAUAGUUUUAUGAGGUAAAGCGAAUGAUUAGAGGCUUUGGGGAAGAAACUUCCUUGACCUAUUCUCAAACUUUAAAUUUGUAAGACCCGCAGGUUUCUGUCUGAACCUGCGGUGCGAAUAUCUAGUUGCUAGUGGGCCAUACGGGGUAAGCUCGUCUGGCGAUGCGGGAUGAACCGAACGCAAAGUUAAAGUGCCAAAGUGCACGCUCACCUAGAUACCAUAAAAAGUGUUGGUUCAUUUGGACAGCAGGACGGUGGCCAUGGAAGUCGGAAUCCGCUAA
rnacentral:rRNA from 1 species